GCACAGUUGUACUGCCAUGGCUUCUCGGUUUGAUCGGGGAGCAGAAAGACUUGGUGUUACGGAAUAGAACAAUGCAGAUCCAGCCUGGAAAUAUGCCUAUUUUAAAAGAACCGCCAAGCAAGCAAGCAAGCAAGCAAUCUAAAAGGUGAAAGGAACAGUUUGUGUAAAAAUUAAAAAGUAAUCGAAAGUUAGUUUUGGCUUAGGAAAAAGUAAUUUCCAUUAAACAGUCGCCUUUAUAAAGUAGUAGGUAUUUCCUAAAGGGUUGUUUGGAGGAAAUGUGAGGCAUUACAGGGUUUACAGUAGUUGAAACAGUGUAAGGGUGAAUUUUCAUAAGCAUUGAGUUUUAUCAAGCAUUUUGAAUGAGGAGAGGAGUGUUUAGCUGUGUAUGUGUCGAUUGAUGUCUAUUUAUUGUGGCAUUUCCCUGUGUUCAAAAUAUCUCAUUGAAUGCUCUUUCCCAAAUACUUUCCAUACUGCAUUUAAUGCUCACAGUCAGCUUGUGAGGUAAGUUUUUCCUGAUUUUAAAGAGGAAGCUGAGCCAGGUGUGGGGUGCAUAAAGAAUUCCAGGACCCCCAGGGGGAGGGAGGAGAGAUGGGGGGAGAGGGAAGGAGAAAGAAAGGGGGAGAGAAAGGAAUGAGAAGAGGGAGAGGGAGGAGAGAGAGAAGAGAGCCGGCGAGAGAGAAAGGAGGGAGAGAGGACAGAGAGAGGAGGAGGAGAAAGGAGAAAACCAAAUGAGAGAGAGAGGAUGGAGAAAGAGAAGAGAGAGUGUUAGUAUUCGGGCAUCUGUACUGGCCUAUCCUUGGGGUUCUGACUGGAUGUGUCCUCACCUGCAGCCACUAAGAGCACCGCCUGUGUACAUGCACUACAUUCCCUUUUAAAGGGGCCCUGCCCACCUGCCGUCUCUCUCUCUCUCUCUCUCUCUCUCUCUCUCUCCUUCUGCCUCUCUUCUUUUCUGCUGCUCCUGUCCCCAGAGGCUGGUCUCCUUUCUCCCCUCCCCCUUUUCCCAUUCGCUUUCUGCCAAUAAACCCCACACACACACCCAAGCUCUGUUGUUUGGUGUCUUUCUCUUGUACACCGCUUUUUAAAUUACAACAGAGGAGGAAAGAUGGGAAAGACAGAGGAGGGAGGAGAGAGAG
rnacentral:lncRNA from 1 species